CUAACAUUUGACCAGCACCUGGUUAAGGCAUACCUCUUUGUACAGAGUGCCAUUAACUACAUGCACCAACUUCGCUGUCAGCUCUGCGGAUGAGAUCUGGAGAAGUAUGUGCACCAGCUCACCUUUUGCUCCUCUCCUAAUGGGGCAGACAUCAUCACCGUCUUCAGCAACCUCUAUUACAGACAGCUGCCAACUGCAGAUGAAUGCUUUGGCUGUGCCUCCCUCCUUCCAGCCGAAGAGAGAUGCUCGGCAGAGUGAUGCGGUAUUUAAAAAGAGCAGGGUGAAAUGUUUCCCGAAACCGAGGUAUAAAAGAUCCGUGCAAAUUGCCACGCAAAAUGAUCUGCACAAAAAGGCAUCGGGGAAGGGAGCGAGGGCUGUGCCAAACAGAUGGCACACCCUGCUGUGUUUUUGAUUGAAAAAGAAAGGUAACAUUUGCAGCCACGUCAAAGAGACAGUGAUCAGCUAAACAAAUUGGUCUCCGAAGUGCAGCCGUGCUGGAGCAGACCCUGCUGCAGGGUACGGCGCGGCUGUAUUUCACCAUCGUGCUACGUGCUCCGAGUGGAGGGAGAUGGCCCCUUCCUCCCUGCGAAGCGAGCAGAAGCCUUUGUUGGAAGAGGCUGCGGCGUGCUCUGCAGAGAAAUCCACAGACAAUAAGUGCCAGAGUGUUUUGGUUUUUUUUUCCCCCUUUCUUUUCAGCGUGUUUUAUCUCUCCUGGUCACCUCCACGUCGUGGCCUCGAUCUUCCAGUUGGUGGAUCAGGUGCUGGGUCAGAAGGGAUGGGGAGGCGAUGCCAGGCGGGCGGAGGAGGAGGCUGCGUCCUGCUGCUGCCACAGCGCCAGCGUGGCAUGGCAAGGGUGUGGGGCUCCCCCUCCCCUGGUUGGGGCUCUUCUCAGCUGGCAGCCUGAUUCCGCCUCAGUAAAGACAAGGUACAGAAAUGUCCUUUGGGUGACAUUCAAAACUCGAUAUAAAUCCUCCGCUUUAUGAGACUGCAGUGCAAUAAAUUACUUAGCCUAAUUGUAGAUGUAAUGAAUUACCAUAAUUAGUCAUGGGCUACAUUAAAUUAAUCAGCAUGGUACAUUAUUUUGCUAAAUUACAUCUUUGCCUUCCAAAGCCACCAGUGCAGCAAUCAGUGUUUCUUGCAAGAGGGGAAUGAUGCUGUAAUGAGAAGCCUUUCUGCUCCUCGAAUAGUGACAGGAUAUGAAUUUUGAUGGGAGACGGCGAGCUCGGAGACGCUGGAGCCUCGCCUUGUGCCUGAAAUGCCUGCCAUCGUUAAUGAUGCGCUGGUCCUCCUGCGGGGAGCAGUGGGCUGUGUCUCGUGAAGGUUGUGGACGAUUCUCCUCGCAGGGGAAGAAAAACACUUAGCUCGUGCUUUAAGGCAAACAAUAUCGCUGAUACAACAAGUCACAAAGCAGUGGGGUGGCAGAGAGAUAAUGUCUCUGGAAAUAUUAAUAGAUUUAGAAUGUUCUUUUACAUCGGUUGAUGAGAUUUAUAGUUACCAGGUAUUUUUUUUUUAUUAUUAUUAUUAUUCAUACCAUUUGGAUCUGAGUUAAAGCCUGUAGCUAUUUCUGUUUUUUACUUAAACCUCCAGCUGUUUGGAAUCUUGCUGUUGCUUCCCAGUGAAUACGUCUGGAAGCAAACCGUACUUGAGCUGAGUAUUAUUCACUAUUCAGCAAAAUGUUGUUGGGAGAGCUCCAGCGUCCCACCUGAACACACAUGCUCCACUUGGGUUUCGAUUCGGGGGCUUAUGGGUGUAUAAAGACCAUUAUUUGUCUUGAUAUAUGGCGGAGUUUGCAUUUCAGAUGCGUGAAUCCCAGUUACUUCAGAUCUAUUCCAAAAGUUUGAAAUGGCUUUUCUGCUUUUUUUUCUUCCUUUCCCCAAGUACUCCCUUUCCGAGGUCUGUCACUUUAAUGCUUCAGAACAAGUUUGUUUAAAUAUUUACUUAUACUCAGGAUGUCACCAGCUGACAGUUUGUGACAGAGAUUCAUGGCACUGUCCUGCAAUGAGGUUAAUUAUCCCACAUUUGCGGUGAAGGAUGCCGUUGUGUUGCCGUUGUUUCGUUUUCUGGAAUGACAAUGUUUGUGAGCUUCUAGUUUAAAGGAUGCAUCUGCUGUCUAAGUGCCCAUCUGUGUAAUGAAAUUAGGCUGGGACUUCUGCAGCGUUCCUCUCUGGUUUUGCUGCCCACCUGCCUGCCUUGUCUAACGGAUGGGAGAAAACCAGCCAGCUUAAAAUGGGACCAGGGAAUGGGGAACGGGGAAAAGUGACAAUGGAGAUGCUUCUGGUGAGAGCGCAGCUCCUCUCCCUGCAACUGUGAGCUCAGUCUCUCAGCCUGGUGAGGAGAAAGGGACCCAAGUAAAGCAUGGUCACAUCUGCAGGGGAAAAUGCAUAGGGAUGCAGAAAAGCCCUGUUUGUAAUUUGUGUUUUUGUCCUGGUGGGAACCCAUUUAAUUAGUGCAAGAAGGUAUUGAAUUUUAGCUUAUCAUGCAUAUUGUUUUCCAGCUGUACAGAAGGUUGCCAAGUUUCUAAUGGCCUGACCCUACUCUGUAAAUCAGCAGUAAAUUGCGGCAUUUACACUGAGCAAAGGCAAAGGGCUCAUUCUGUUGGGUUUGCGCUGUCACAGGAACCUGGGCUAAGGGAUUAAUGGUCUGAUGUUAAACAUCUGUCCCCUGUCUUUGGGGGGACGUAAACACACAAAGAGGGAAUCUAAUGCCAUCUACUAAAAGAUCUUCAAUGAGAGGGAGCCCUUGCUAACAUUUCCAUCCAGUGGCACCUCAGACACAUUGCCUCUUUAUGCUAAAGCCCCACAGCACUAAGGGCCCUAUAAAUAGUCUCCAUGUGACAGCUCUGAGAAGAAGAGAGGUUUCCUCUAGACAUUAGUUGUGCUAAAAGAUUCAUCAUUACCUGCAGUCAUGAAAUAAAUCUUUGAUACUUACAACUAUAAUAUCCAUGCUCUACGUUUUAUUGCAGAUAUAGGUAGACAGUCAUUAUUUCUGACACUUUCUCGGCAUUACAAGGAGUACUCUAGGGGAACAACUAGUGUACAGUCUUACAGAAAUAGAUUGAUAUAACCACAUGGAAACCAGUUACUUGCAGUCAAUAUAAUAUUCCCUUAAUGAUGUUAAACAGUCGUGUAGAUUCCAAGUUUAAUGUAAAAAUCCCAUCUUCGAACAACCGUAGUUAUCUACUGAUUAAGUUGCCAGAGGGGAAAUUUAUUUUUUCAUCAUAUGUAAGUCCUUGAGAAAUAUAUUAGAGAAAUAUAUUACUUGGAGCUAAAUAAAAUACUUGUGGGUUUUUUUUUCUUUCUUUUUUUUUUUUUUCUUUUUCUUUUUUUUUUCUUCAUUAUAGUCUGUUAUUAUUUAGGGGAUGUUAAAGUAAGACAAUGGCCAACAGCAAUCACUUCAAAGCACUCGUGGAAGAUGGAAGCAUGGAGUUCUGUGAAGUAGGGCACUGAGGGAUGCUCUUUGUGGUGGUGAUGUGGCAGGUACCACCGUCAUGUAAAUUCAGUGAUUGUUUUACAGGGCAAACAACAUCCCAUACAGCACUUUGAUAGUCUGGCUGGCAGCACCUUGGAGAGCCAGCCCAAGUUCCUGCCCUGCCUCUUGCACACGGGCUUCAAAUGCAGAUGGGCACUUCGGGAAAAGAUGCUCAUCAACUCAGAAUGAGGCUUUUUAUUUCCUGAAAUGCAAUACUGUUAUUGGUAGUCUUCAUACAACAAAGAGUGGGCAUCCUGGGUUAUCAGUGCAGUUUUUUAAUUUGUCUGGAGCUGUGGCUGGCACAAAAUGUAGUGCUGGGCAUCCAGCACUGCUGGUAUGUUCCAGGCUGGAUGGCAGAAAGCAGGGCUGGAGCUCUGGAGGUUUAAAGCCCUUUAUCAAGAUCAGAGAUGUGCAGCCAUGACUUAACACCCAUGAGAGCUGCACUGAAUUGCCAGCACAUUCCUGAUGUCAACACUGUUGGAAAACACUAUGCAUCUUUCACUGAAGUGUGUUUGAAUAAUGCUGAGCUUUCUUUCUUCAGCCACUGAAGGAAGCCCUCGCGUGUGUUAAUAUUCUGCUGAUAAGUGGAGAGAUUCGUUGUACAUAACAUUUGCUCUGAUUCCUGAGAGUCAUUCCCAAACUACCCUGUUAGCCCCAGAAGUGGCACUGAUAUGAGUGCCCCACUCAUACCCUCUGAGGAUGAACCUCAGAGACCUAGGUUGGAUAUUAGGAAAAAUUUCUUCUCAGAAGGAAUGGUGAUGCACUGGAAUGGGCUGCCCAGGGAGGUGGUGGAGUUACUGUCAUUGGAGGUGUUCAUGAAAAGAGUAGAUGUGCCACUGAGGGACAUGGUUAGUGGGCAUGGCGGGGAUGGGCUGAUGGUUG